rnacentral:lncRNA from 1 species
AGCUAGUAUCCGUGGUGGAGUGCGGAGUGGAUGAAUGAAUGCCAUGGGACUUACUCGUUGAACUUGAAGUGGCCACUACCACCUGAUCACUCUGGGAUCCUCAUACUGAAGGACGAGGACAUGAGGCAUGUGUUCCCCCAGGAGCUGCAAGUCCAGCCAGGGGAUCUGAGUAGCAGCAGCAGAAGGGAUCAGUCCAACAGCAUGCAUCACAGCCUGAGGCCAAAGUUCAAUCCUACUCCUACUCAGCUGCGUGGACAUCUCUGCAGCAGAUGGUCAUGAUGCAACGUGCCACAUCUCCUUGAUCCACUUGAUUUCAGCACAGUGGUGGUGGACAGUUCCAUGCAUUUUGCAGCAUUCCAUCUCCAACAUAAGGUCUCUGCCUUGCUCACACAAGCCUUCCUCUGAAGUUCAAAAGGCACUCAGCAGCCACCUGUAGGUGCAACCUGGAAGUGCAGAAAAGGUAAUGAGGGCUUAACCAAUGGUAAAAGAUCCGUGGGCAAACACUCCAGCUCCCCUAUCCUAGUUCUGCGCUGUUCCUCUGAGGGUUCCCAGGACUGAGCCCCAGUUGCCCAAAGCAGUAACCAAUCAUUAACAGACCCUUUAUUAGCUUUUCUCCCUUCCUGUUUUACUCUUUCCACUUCCUCACUCCUGGCUCCUGAGCUUACUUCCCAAAUAACCUUCCUAUACUCAAGCUCUUAUCUCAGGCUUUGACUUCAAAGAAACCCAAACCAAGGUCAGUCUCCUCCUUAAUCCACUUCCCCUGCAGCUCUCACUGUUUUGAUGUCUUCUUGCGCAUUGUACAUUAAUCAUGACCAGCCAGCCCCACCUUCUCUUUCUUUGAAACACCCUCCCCUCCCACUUCAUUGCUCAGUCAGUCUUCUUUGUAACAGCAUUAGCAGUUGCUAAUGGCCGGUUCACCAUCUUUGCUGUCCUGGAGUCUUGAGGGCAGGAAGUAGCUGGCAGUAUUAACCACUCUCUUGGCAUGCAUCAUGUUAUGAGGUAGCUUCCU